GCUAGAUUGGAAGUACAAGUUGUUUCAACUUCUGGAUGCUGAGGCGAAUUCCCAGAAGUUUCAAGUUUAGUUUCAGGGUUGAGCUGAAAAAGCCCUUGACAAAGGAGAAUGAGAUGGAGAUAGGAAGCUAUGAUUUCUGCCACCACAAUCUUCAAAGCUGAUGCUUGCGCAUGUGCAAUAACAGGCAAGAUAUCAAAAGCGGAUUGCCUGUUCCACCCAGAACCUGGCAGCAAUUACAAGCAGUAUGGCUUUUCCGCUCGUGAUCAAGAUUGAAUGAGUUGAUUGCAAAUUUGCACGAUUUAUAUGGGACUCAGAAUUAUGUGGAAGUUCAGGAAGAAUCUAUAGACUGCUUACAAGAUCACCAUCAAUAAACCAAGCCAUUCAAACUAUCUAACCUAGUUUAAUCUUACCGAGGAAUGUAAUGGACAGUCUUACAAAAGAAUGGAAUGCAGUCUUUUCC